rnacentral:rRNA from 1 species
GAGACUCUGUGCGCGUGCAUAUCAAUAAGCGGAGGAAAAGAAACUAACAAGGAUUCCCUUAGUAACGGCGAGUGAAGCGGGAAGAGCUCAAAUUUGAAAUCUUCAAGGUUUUACCUUGACGAAUUGUAGUUUAUAGAAGUGUUUUCUGUUGAAGUUUCGGUAAAAGUUCUUUGGAAUAGGACAUCAUAGAGGGUGAGAAUCCCGUAUUUGACCGUUAUUUUCAGCUGUGUGAUACACUUUCAAAGAGUCGGAUUGUUUGGGAAUGCAGUCCAAAAUGGGUGGUAAAUUUCAUCUAAAGCUAAAUAUUGGCGAGAGACCGAUAGCGAACAAGUACCGUGAGGGAAAGAUGAAAAGAACUUUGAAAGGAGAGUUAAACAGUACGUGAAAUUGUCAAAAGGGAAGCGUUUGACACCAGUGUUGUUUUCUCGAAAAUCAAUUAAAAAUAACUUGAUUUUGUGUUGUAUUGACCUUAAAAGCUUUCUUCACUCUUUUCCUGUUAUUUUUAAUGCACUUUUCGUUUAACAAGUCAACAUCAGUCUCUUUUGUUGUAAAAAGGUCAUUGGAAGGUGGCUUUCUUUUCGGAGAAAGUGUUUAUAGCCUUUGACUCCUGCAAUCGGAGAGACUGAGGUCUGCAGCGUAGAUCCUUUUUUGGAUUAGAUUCAUUUGUGCUAAGUUAUAGCUUUUUAUAGACAACAUGUUGACUAUAUUUAGUCUUGUAACUUACUCGCUUAUGUAAUUUUACCUACGCUUAGGAUGUUGAAGAUGUAGCACAUCAU